GAAUGCAUACGCACAACUCCAAAGUUGCGAAUACCAGAGAUUUCCCAGGAAUCAGGCCCCCUGUGUCUUUGCCUUCUCCAAAUUCUGGCAGUGUUUCCUUUUCGGCAGCGCCAUCAUCGACUGGAAGGAAGAAACAGGCUGAGGUCAGUGCUCUGGACAUGCCCUAAUUCAGAUGGUAGAGCUACAAUCCAGGGAAUCAUUCUACCUUCGGCACUUCGUCGUUUUUCCCUCACAUGUUCCUGAGCUGCAUAGAUAAUCUGCCGGACCACUUCCAGGGCAGCCAGCUGAAUGGAAGUUGGGAGGCAAACUCUGAUGGUAACGUCAGAAGAGCAAAAUCUUGCAGUGCAGCAAGCCAGAGUUUGCUCAGUGUUCCAAGAUCUGUCUGAACCAAGUCCAGAAGGCCAUCGGCUGAGAAAAUCACAUCUCCAGCACUCUCAUCUCCAGUACUGGUGGUUUUCAAAGAUUGCUUGUUUUUCUCUGUUUGCUUUUUUUGCCUUUCUACAGCAACAAUGUAAACCUGUAGAAAGAUUAAUCUGUGAAUAAAGAGGGUCUUGCAGAAGGUCUCACUCAAA